UCAAACUCAAGAGGAAUUGACGGGGGCCCGCACAAGCGGUGGAGCAUGUGGUUUAAUUCGAAGCAACGCGAAGAACCUCUACCCUGGCCUUGCACAUGCUGAGAACUCUCUCCCAAGAGAUGGAUCUGGCUGCCUCCCGGGCAACCUCCAGCACACAGGUGCUGCAUGGCUGUCGUCCAGCCUCCCUGUUCCUGCAGCAUGUCCGGGUCACAGCUCCCCGUUAAACGAAGCCGCCAACCCCCUUGCUCCCUUAAGUUCUACCCAGCCACCCUCCGGGGCUGGGGCCACCUCCUAAAGGCAGCACUGCCCGGGUGCAACAAACCGGCAGGCAAGGCUGGGGCAUCACGCUCAAGCUCAUCAUGGCCCCUUACGGCCCAGGGCUACACACGUGCUACAAUGGUCGGUACAAAGGGUCGCCCAGCCGCGAGGUGGAGCUAAUCCCAUAAAACCGAUCGUAGUCCGGUAUCGCAGUCUGCAACUCGACUGCGUGAAGUCCGAAUCCCUAGUAAUCGUGAAUCAGAAUGUCACGGCUGAAUAACGUCCCCCCGGCCUUGGUACCCCCCCGCCCCGUAAAUCCGGAAUCCCCGGGCCCCGUCCGGAACUGCAAGAAGGGCCUGGCAUGCCAAGCCCUUUCCCUUAUAGUUGAGUUCGUUAUAAGAGCCUGCCGGUAUUCAUGGUAUAGCUGUUCCGGUGUAAAAUGUCAUCGCCCAAAUCCACCAAAACCAGCCGAGCCUAAGUUAACCGGGGCUGCCAUAAGGACCAACUCAAUAUUGCGUCCCCUACCUGCCCGCUCCAGUAGGAAACCGUUGCGCACCGUAAAAUUAAUU
rnacentral:rRNA from 1 species